rnacentral:lncRNA from 1 species
GGCUGAGCCUUGCAAACAAGUGUCUCUGGCAGUGUCCCCGCGGCCCUCCGGCGGCCCUCGUCGCGCUAGGGUUGUCUUCUCCGGACAGAAGGAACCGAGGAAGCCCCGGGAGCCGCCACCGCUACCGCCGCCACCACCCUCGGCCUUAGCCCCGCGUUAGGGGCCGCGGACUCAGCUCGGCUGCUCGGCUCGUGGAUGCGGGGUCGCAGCGCGGGCAGCGCCCCGGCUCCUACAGAGCAGCUCCUGACAGAAGAACGCGCGUGGCUGUCCCCACCCCUGGGAGGGGUUGCCGGUGUCGCGAGCUGCCGCUCAGUUUGCAGCUCUCUCUCCUGGGAGAAUCCGUCACCGGGAAAGAGUAGAAACCACCUGGUCGAGGCGCAGAAGUGGCUCCGGAGGGAGCCGGCGUAAGGUCUGCUGCCUCGUGUCCGCUAAGGGCGCGGCGAUCCGGGAUCCGCCGGCCGGAGCCCAAGCGCAGCCGGGAGCUUGCGGGUGGCGAAGCCAGGCGCACCGCCUUCUGGGUGUCUGCUGAGCGGUUCCCCGCGUCCCGCGGGGUCCUGCAGCCCCGACCCCCCGGCUGGAAGCCACGGAGAACCGCUGCCGAGGACUGCGGACCAACAUCGUCCCUCCCGAAAGCGGAUUCUGCUAUGACAGCUGGGCUCUCCAAGGGGUUAACCUGGGUGUCCUCCGUAAAGUUGUCGCCGAGCCGGGAGCCCGUUUAGGGGUCGCAGCGCCGCGGCUCGGGGGGCGGCCGAGUGGCCGGCGGCGGCCGUGGCUCGGCGGAACCCGCGCGGCCGGGGGGCUUCUGGGGGUGUGCGCCCCCAGCCGGCUGCCCUCGUGGAUGCCUCCCGGCGGCGGCGGGCCCAUGAAAGACUGCGAGUACAGUCAGAUCAGCACCCACAGCUCCUCUCCCAUGGAGUCGCCCCACAAGAAGAAGAAAAUCGCGGCCCGGAGGAAAUGGGAGGUGUUCCCAGGAAGAAACAAGUUCUUUUGCAACGGGAGGAUCAUGAUGGCCCGGCAGACCGGCGUCUUCUACCUGACUCUCAUUCUCAUCCUGGUCACUAGUGGACUCUUCUUCGCCUUCGAGCAGCUGUCGGUACCUGGCAGAGAAGAUCACCCCUGCCAUCCCCGUGGUCGGUGGCAUCCUGUUCUUCUUUGUGAUGGGGACACUGCUUCGGACCAGCUUCAGUGACCCGGGAGUCCUCCCUCGAGCCACUCCUGAUGAAGCCGCUGAUCUGGAAAGGCAAAUAGAUAUAGCCAACGGCACCAGUUCAGGGGGGUAUCGCCCGCCUCCCAGAACCAAAGAAGUCGUCAUCAAUGGCCAGACCGUGAAACUAAAGUACUGUUUUACCUGCAAGAUUUUCCGCCCCCCUCGAGCCUCCCACUGCAGCCUGUGUGAUAACUGCGUAGAACAGUUUGAUCACCACUGUCCCUGGGUAGGCAACUGUGUGGGGAAAAGAAACUACAGAUUUUUUUAUAUGUUUAUUUUAUCCCUGUCCUUUCUGACAGUCUUUAUAUUUGCAUUCGUUAUCACACACGUCAUCCAUCGUUCACAGCAAAAGGGAUUCCUCGAUGCCCUUAAGGACAGUCCAGCGAGUGUGCUAGAGGCUGUAAUAUGCUUCUUCUCUGUCUGGUCCAUCAUUGGCCUUUCAGGUUUCCACACGUACCUGAUCAGCUCCAACCAGACC